rnacentral:misc_RNA from 1 species
CUCUCUCUCUCUCUCUCUCCUGAUUAACUGAUUCAGUUCGAUUCUAAAACUAUGGUAUUGACUUAAGCUAUUUAAACAAUAUUAACAGCUGUUUCCGGGCAUAUUAUCAUAUUUUUACAGUGCGAAGGUUUGCAAAUUAAGGAAAGAGAUGCUUUGUACUGUUUGCAUCACAUGGAAAUGUAGCCAUUAUUAACAUAAGUGGCUUUGGACACACCACCUAACAUGUUAGAUUUAAAUAAUAAGGUCAUUUCAUUUCACUCUCAUUAACAGCUAUUCAGCUGAUGGUUAAGAUAUCAGUACUUAGUCCAAUUAGGCAAACAGUUCAGAGAACAUUACAAAAUCUCACCAAUAUUUUGUUUGAUCGGAUAUAGUCAAGGAUAAGUUUCAUAAUUUUUUAAUACAAGUAACCAAUUUAUGAAUUAAAAAAGAAAAAAAAAUCA